rnacentral:rRNA from 1 species
UACGUAGGUGGCAAGCGUUGUUCGGAUUCAUUGGGCGUAAAGGGUGCGUAGGCGGUUGGGUAAGUCUGAUGUGAAAUCCCGGGGCUCAACUCCGGAACUGCAUUGGAUACUGCCUGACUAGAGAACUGGAGAGGAGACUGGAAUUUACGGUGUAGCAGUGAAAUGCGUAGAGAUCGUAAGGAAGACCAGUGGCGAAGGCGAGUCUCUGGACAGAUUCUGACGCUGAGGCACGAAGGCCAGGGGAGCAAACGGG